rnacentral:rRNA from 1 species
CAGUCGAGGGGCAGCGGGGCGGCAGGCUUGCCUGCCGCCGCCGGCGACCCGUGCACGGGUGAGUAACACGUAUGCAACCUGCCCGUGGCAGGGGGAUAAGCGGGGGAAACCCCGUCUAAUACCGCGUAACGCGGCCUUGGGGCAUCCCCUGGCCGCCAAAGGGAGCAAUCCCGGCCACGGAUGGGCAUGCGGCGCAUUAGCUAGUCGGCGGGGUAACGGCCCACCGAGGCGACGAUGCGUAGGGGUUCUGAGAGGAAGGCCCCCCACACUGGUACUGAGACACGGACCAGACUCCUACGGGAGGCAGCAGUGAGGAAUAUUGGUCAAUGGGCGCGAGCCUGAACCAGCCAAGUCGCGUGAGGGAGGACGGCCCUACGGGUUGUAAACCUCUUUUGCCGGGGAGCAACGGGCGUCACGUGUGGCGCCACUGAGAGUACCCGGAGAAAAAGCAUCGGCUAACUCCGUGCCAGCAGCCGCGGUAAUACGGAGGAUGCGAGCGUUAUCCGGAUUUAUUGGGUUUAAAGGGUGCGUAGGCGGAUCGUUAAGUCAGUGGUCAAAUUGAGAGGCUCAACCAUAAAAUUGCCGUUGAAACUGGAAGACUUGAGUGUGUUUGAGGUAGGCGGAAUGCGUGGUGUAGCGGUGAAAUGCAUAGAUAUCACGCAGAACUCCGAUUGCGAAGGCAGCUUACUAAGCCAUAACUGACACUGAAGCACGAAAGCGUGGGGAUCAAACAGGAUUAGAUACCCUGGUAGUCCACGCAGUAAACGA